rnacentral:rRNA from 1 species
CCUACGGGAGGCAGCAGCAGGGAAUAUUGCACAAUGGGCGAAAGCCUGAUGCAGCGACACCGCGUGCGGGAUGAAGGCCUUCGGGUUGUAAACCGCUUUCAGGAGGGAAGAAAAUGACGGUACCUCCAGAAGAAGGCCCGGCCAACUACGUGCCAGCAGCCGCGGUAAUACGUAGGGGCCAAACGUUGUCCGGAAUUAUUGGGCGUAAAGGGCUCGUAGGCGGUUCAACAAGUCGGUCGUGAAAGCCCGGGGCUCAACUCCGGGAUGCCGGUCGAAACUGUUGUGACUUGAGUUCGGUAGAGGUGAGUGGAAUUCUCAGUGUAGCGGUGGAAUGCGCAGAUAUUGAGAGGAACACCAUUAGCGAAGGCGGCUCACUGGGCCGAUACUGACGCUGAGGAGCGAAAGCGUGGGGAGCAAACAGGAUUAGAUACCCUGGUAGUCCACGCCGUAAACGAUGAACACUAGGUGUAGCGGAUUUAUUCAUGUCUGCUGUGCCGCAGCUAACGCAUUAAGUGUUCCGCCUGGGGAGUACGGCCGCAAGGCUAAAACUCAAAGGAAUUGACGG